rnacentral:rRNA from 1 species
UACGGAGGGUGCAAGCGUUAUCCGGAUUCACUGGGUUUAAGGGUGCGUAGGUGGGCUAGUAAGUCCGUGGUGAAAUCUCCAAGCUUAACUUGGAAACUGCCGUGGAUACUAUUAGUCUUGAAUAUUGUGGAGGUAAGCGGAAUAUGUCAUGUAGCGGUGAAAAUGCUUAGAUAUGACAUAGAACACCGAUAGCGAAGGCAGCUUGCUACACAAUCAUUGACACUGAGGCACGAAAGCGUGGGGAGCAAACAGG